rnacentral:tRNA from 1 species
GGGGGCGUAGCUCAAUUGGUUAGAGCUGACGGUUCAUACCCGUUAGGUUGGGGGUUCGAGUCCCUCCGCCCCUACCA